ACUCCUGCGGGAGGCAGCAGUGGGGAAUUUUACGCAAUGGGGGAAACCCUGACGUAGCGACACCGCGUGAGCGAAGAAGCCCUUUGGGGUGUAAAGCUCUGUCAGCUGGAACGAAAACAAUGACGGUACCAGCAGAGGAAGCAUCGGCUAACUACGUGCCAGCAGCCGCGGUAAGACGUAGGAUGCGAGCGUUGUCCGGAUUUAUUGGGCGUAAAGAGUUCGUAGGUGGUUUGUUAAGUUUGGUGUUAAAGAUCGGGGCUCAACCCUGGGACUGCACUGAAUACUGGCAGACUCGAGUGUGGUAGAGGCUAGUGGAAUUCCCAGUGUAGCGGUGAAAUGCGUAGAUAUUGGGAAGAACACCGGUGGCGUAGGCGACUAGCUGGGCCAUAACUGACGCUGAGGAACGAAAGCCAGGGGAGCGAAUGGGAUUAGAUACCCCUGUAGUCCCAUGA
rnacentral:rRNA from 1 species